rnacentral:rRNA from 1 species
GUAACGGCGAGUGAAGCGGCAACAGCUCAAAUUUGAAAUCUGGCCCCAGGCCCGAGUUGUAAUUUGUAGAGGAUGCUUUGGGCGCGGUGCCUUCCAAGUCCCCUGGAACGGGGCGCCAUAGAGGGUGAGAGCCCCGUACGGUUGGACACCAAGCCUGUGUAAAGCUCCUUCGACGAGUCGAGUAGUUUGGGAAUGCUGCUCUAAAUGGGAGGUAGACCCCUUCUAAAGCUAAAUACCGGCUGGAGACCGAUAGCGCACAAGUAGAGUGAUCGAAAGAUGAAAAGAACUUUGAAAAGAGGGUUAAAAAGCACGUGAAAUUGUUGAAAGGGAAGCGCUUGUAACCAGACUUGCGCCGGGGCGAUCAUCCAGCGUUCUCGCUGGUGCACUCGCCCCGGCUCAGGCCAGCGUCGGUUCGUUGGGGGGUACAAAGACGACAGGAACGUGGCUCCCUCGGGAGUGUUAUAGCCUGACGUGUCAUGCCCCCUCGCGGACCGAGGUACGCGCUCUGCAAGGACGCUGGCGUAAUGGUUACCAGCGGCCCGUCUUGAAACACGGACCA